GAAACAUCUGUUAUAUUACCAAGGCUUCUGACUGGAAUGUCAUGUUUGAGAAAUAUACAUAGACUCAGAUAUGACCAUGCAGUUUUAAGAAACUAAGGUUGACUUUUAUGAAACAUGGAGGCUCUUGGAAAUGUUGGCCUGACACCUUGCUUACAGAGUCCCAGCAGCCUUACCAGCUCGCCAGUUCUCACAUGGGACCAGAUGGGGAGGUGCCAUUGGGAGACCCAGCCUUCAUGCCAGAUUCCUGGGCAAUCUGGUCCUGCAUCCCUGCUGUGAGAAGGGGUAGGCUAAGGCUGGAAUCAUCUGGAGGCCUCCAGGAGGAGCCAUAGAAGAUGGCAGGUGUUUCAUGUGGCUGCACUAAGGGCUCUCAUGGCCUGGGUCCAGCCCAACAGGCCCUUUUUUGACCAAUCCUGGGAAAUCAUGUCCACUGCAUUUUAUUGAUUACAGCUAAAAGUACUGAAGGAAGCAUAUGAGCACCCUGGCUGGUCUCACAUUCAGUUGGCAAAUCCUGGAAGUGGCCUGGCCAUCAUGCAGUAUCUCUUCAUCCUUUCCUAUGGGAAGGACUUAUCUUCCCUUUUCACCAACUUGAGAGGUAAGCAGAACCUCUG